rnacentral:piRNA from 1 species
CNGCAUUCUCAGCAGCUGUCACCUAACACAUC